CCCUAGCCCUGAUGGAAGCGGUAUCCUUUUUAGGCAAUCAUGAAGUUUUUUGGUUUAGCAUAAAUCUUCUGCCUAAAAAGAUAUAGCGGACAGCAGGAAAUAGC
rnacentral:sRNA from 1 species